rnacentral:tRNA from 1 species
GGCGGGAUAGCUCAGGUGGUAGAGCACGUGACUGAAAAUCACGGUGUCCCCGGUUCGAGUCCGGGUCCCGCCA